CAGAAUAAACGCUGGCGGCGUGCCUAACACAUGCAAGUCGCACGAGAAAGGCCGUUUUCGGAUGGCCGAGUAAAGUGGCGCACGGGUGAGUAACGCGUAGGCAACCUACCCCUGUGUUCGGGAUAACAGUGCGAAAGCGCUGCUAAUACCGGAUAUUACCGUAGAGGGGAGACCUUCUGCGGUCAAAGCGGGCCUCUCGAAGAAGCUUGCGCGCGGGGAUGGGCCUGCGUCCUAUCAGCUAGUUGGUAGGGUAACGGCCUACCAAGGCGACGACGGGUAGCUGGUCUGAGAGGAUGAUCAGCCACACUGGCACUGGAACACGGGCCAGACUCCUACGGGAGGCAGCAGUGAGGAAUUUUGCGCAAUGGGAGCAAUCCUGACGCAGCAACGCCGCGUGGGUGAAGAAGGCCUUCGGGUCGUAAAGCCCUGUCAGGUGGGAAGAAAAAGCUCGAGGAUAACACCCUUGGGUAUUGACGGUACCACCAGAGGAAGCACCGGCUAACUCCGUGCCAGCAGCCGCGGUAA
rnacentral:rRNA from 1 species